GUGGGUCUUUAUCCCCCGGCUCAUCCCGAUAUUCCCUUUUCUCCCCCCGCAGGGCUGUGGGUGGCCGUGACCCUGGUGGAGUCCGGGGGCGACCUCAAGGCCCCGGGGGAGUCCCUGCGGCUCCUCUGCCGCACCUCCGGCUUCACCUUCAGCGACUACGGAAUGGGCUGGAUGCGCCAGAGCCCCGGGAAGGGGCUGGAAUAUGUGGCUGGGAUCACCGACACUGGUGGUGCCACCAACUACGCGCCGUCGGUGAAGGGUCGGUUCACGAUCUCCCGGGACAACGGGCAGAGCUCGGUGACGCUGCAGAUGAACAACCUCAAGGAGGAGGAUUCCGCCACCUAUUUCUGUGCCAAAAGUGGUUCUUCUAGUGGUGGUUUUGGUGCUGCUGGUAUUGACCCUCUUGGAGGGGUCCCCAAACCGGGCCAUUGA